rnacentral:lncRNA from 1 species
ACCUUCACUUGUAGUAAUUUUUUGAGUCCCGGUUGUAAUGUGCAUUUCUCCAAAAAGGACCUUUCUCUCAUUCUGUUAAAGGUCUUGCUGACUUCAAAUGUGGGACUACCUUAAAAUACUUCAUGCGUGAAAAUACUGAAUUUUCAUCAGAUUCUUCAGAGAGAAAAGAGAGAUGUGCUAGGGAAGAGGAGAAAGAGGCCACUAACACUUGCCACCGGGAGAGUGUUUUUACUGUAAGUAACUCAAAGUAUGUAGGCUCAGAAAUUAUUUCACUCCUGAUACCAGUGUAGAGGGAUUUAUAUUCCAGAUUCUUUAAUAGGAAAACAUAUCUGAAAAUGAGGUGUCAAGUUAAAAGAUCCCACUGGAGUACAAGAAUGUUCACUGCAUGAAUAUGUGGUAUAA